rnacentral:rRNA from 1 species
GGACUACUCGGGUAUCUAAUCCUGUUUGCUCCCCACGCUUUCGCGUCUCAGCGUCAGUCACCGUCCAGAUGGCCGCCUUCGCCACCGGUGUUCUUCUCGAUAUCUACGAAUUUCACCUCUACACCGAGAGUUCCACCAUCCUCUCCGAGACUCGAGCUGCGCAGUAUCGAAUGCACUUCCUGGGUUGAGCCCAGGGCUUUCACACCCGACUUGCGUAGCCGCCUACACGCGCUUUACGCCCAGUAAUUCCGAACAACGUUUGCACCCUCUGUCUUACCGCGGCUGCUGGCAC